GUGAUCCAAAACAAUGCUGUUUCAGCCGGUAACUAUGGCUCCAUGUUUGAGCCCGAGUCUGAUACUGAAACACAGGCAGAACAACCUGAACCCGCUUCACAACACUUCAGAGUGCUCGGGGCACGAUGAUGAAGAAAGGGAACGGCUACAGAGCAAUCCAGGAUUAACUGAUUUCGAAGAUUCACUAAAGAGAGACCUAAGAACUGGUGUACAAAGAGCCUUCACUGAAGGUGUAUUUGACCCAGGCACUGACUUCAAAACAACAGUUGUUCCCUGGGUUCUUCCUAAGGCUGCCCACUGCUCCUAAAAGUUAAGGUUUCACUGCCUUCACGGGGAGCUGCGGAUGCAGCCUGAAAGAGUCUGCACCAUAAUAGCAGCCUGCGCUGUCCUCCACAUCUGUGUCACGCAACACCAUCAGCUGGUGCAGGAGGAAGAUGUGCAGCCUGUGGUCCCUGCAGUGCAUGAAGACGUCGGUGCACGACUAGUCUGUACACACAUUGUUAACGCCUUAUAAGUUCAGACAUAUCGCUCUUACUAUUUCAAAACAUCUUAAUCAGCUCCUUAUUGUUGAAUUAUUUCCAAUGUAUUGCUUCAGUUCAAAUAAUUUCCCGUUUAAUUGUCUGCUUGUUGUAAACCGUAUAUAAAGGAUAUAUAAAGAAAACAAAUUUAAAGAAUGGACAGCAAUGAUUGUAAAUCAAUAUUUUGUUGUUUGUUGAUUGUGGUUGAUUAUUAUUGUUAUUAUUAUUAUUAUUCUUAUUGUUAUCAAGUUGAUUUGAUUUCAUCCUGUCUCCUCCGUUUUUUUGGUGGUGCUCCGCUGCUGUCAUGAAGAAUUUGUGGAGGAGUGGCAUAGGUCGAGUAUGAAAUCAGAUAGUGAAUUCAUUAAAUCUGGCCUUUACCAUUAUGUGACAAUUUCUACGACUUGGCCUAACGUUAUUACACUGUAGGUAUAAGCAGAGUUUAUUGGGAGAUUAUAUUAUUAGUUCAUUUAUUAUUAAAGUAAUUAACUAAAUAAAUAAAUGGGUAGUUUAUGUGGAAUACACACAGUAACAUUACUGCUCUUGACGCUUGUAAUGUUAACUUGAACCACCAUCCAUCUCUGGAGAAACAUCACUCUCUUCAAGCGGUUGGUCAAUACUGCCGCUUGCCACACUGACCAAACCAGUAAAAGCAAGGGAAUCUUCUCCAAAAACAUCAGCAAUUAUAUCACUAUAUACAGACGUUUUCGGGGGAGGACCUCUGCAGGUUUGAUGAUUUGAUAAAAUACCUCCAUAGUCCAGAUUCAUAUAAUAUAUGUAGUCAAUACUUGGAAGGAACUGAAUAAAAGGUAUACAGUGUAUUUUUUGGCUAUGGUGUGAAUGGGCAUGAUUCCACUGAAUAUACAUUGUUGAACUGAUUAAUGAAGGAAAGGCAAAAUGGAUGAGAUGGAGGAAAGCAUGUAUGGUGCUAAUUGUUGUUUACUCAUUAUGUCGUCACCAGUCAACAUUUGUGUGAAAUCUGGAAUCGCCCAGUUUAUUCUUAAAUUAUGGCUUAAAACCUCUUUUGAGGUCACAAUAACCUUUGAGUCAAAAGUGUCACCUAUUCAGUGUCUGACCAACUGUGAAAUAUGGUCAGAAGCUUCCCUUCAGUUCCUGAGUUAUGGUGUUGAAUAAAAAACAAAAAAGUCUUUUUCCAGGACAUUAUGAUGUCACAGUAAAGUUGACCAUUGACCUUAUGAAUAUAAAAUUGCAUCACUGUCACCAAGUCAUUGUCCGACCAACUGUGAAAUAUGGUAAUCAAUUCUUUAGUUAUGGCCAGAAAUCGUGUUUUGUGAGGUUGACAGUUACCUUGACCAAAUUCUAAUCAGUUCAUCCUUGUGUCCAAGUGGACGUUUGUGCCAAAUUUGAAGAAAUUCCUUCCAGGUGUUCCUGAGAUAUCGCAUUCAUGAGAAUGGGACAUAUGGAAACAUAAGCGCCAGUUAGAAUCAUAGCUAGGCUAGCGUUUAGCAGAAGCCUGGAACUAUGCCAAUAGGAGGCAGCGUAUGGGCGGGUCUACGACUCUUCUUCCAGUACAGACUGCAGUUCCGUCAGCUCAUGCGAGUGAAUCUCGCCAUCUGCUGGUGUAGCUAGUAACUGUACCUCACAUUGCAGAUUCCUUUUUACAGAUCUGUUGCGGUACGACUUGAACAAAAUUCACACAAAUAAAUAAAUAAUAAUAAUAAUAAAUAAAUAGGAAGGAAGUCACAAAUGUCACGUGACCCACAA